rnacentral:rRNA from 1 species
AUUGAACGCUGGCGGCAUGCCUUACACAUGCAAGUCGAACGGCAGCACGGGUGCUUGCACCUGGUGGCGAGUGGCGAACGGGUGAGUAAUACAUCGGAACGUACCUUAUCGUGGGGGAUAACGCAGCGAAAGCUGUGCUAAUACCGCAUACGCCCUGAGGGGGAAAGCGGGGGAUCGAAAGACUCCGGGCGAUUAGAGCGGCCGAUGCCUGAUUAGCUUGUUGGUGGGGUAAAAGCCCACCAAGGCGACGAUCAGUAGCUGGUCUGAGAGGACGAUCAGCCACACUGGGACUGAGACACGGCCCAGACUCCUACGGGAGGCAGCAGUGGGGAAUUUUGGACAAUGGGGGCAACCCUGAUCCAGCAAUGCCGCGUGAGUGAAGAAGGCCUUCGGGUUGUAAAGCUCUUUUGUCAGGGAAGAAACACCGGCUCUAACACAGUUCGGGAAUGACGGUACCUGAAGAAUAAGCACCGGCUAACUACGUGCCAGCCGCCGCGGUAA